UAUGAUGUCAUAAUGGGUGGACAUGUACAGGUACUAGAUUUAUGGGAUCCACCUAGAGUUUGCCAAGAGAGGAAGUUCCACCAGUAAUCAGGGAAUCAGCGACAAUGAAGUUGAGAAAAGCUAUUGGGGGUUGCUGUCACCAUCAUCCAUGGGUUCUACAUUGAUUUAAUAAACCACGUGACUCGGGAUGUGAAUCUGGUCCGUGAGCCUCUCUCACCCUUGGCCACUGGAGGUCUACUUGGAAGCCACCGUGAAAUCCAGCAGGACUGCCAGGAAAAAAUGUCGGAGGCCUCAUUUCGGGAAGCCAGGAAGUCAUUUGGGUUCAUACAGGAGACGAGCGCUGUUUGGGCUUUGCUUCAGUUUCGCCGUGAAUCUCAGCUGCAGACUGUUCUGGAAAGUUGGCAAGGCAGGAGGGUCCACAGAGCCGUCAACAGCCAGAGAGCAAACAGCCAAGCACAGCAUGUAGCCCUGUGUGCACCACACUGGAAUCACAUGUACAUGUUGGUUGUCACACUGGGGGCCACAUGAGACCCUCUACCAAAAUCAAGUGAUCAAGAAAUUUCAGCUGUCUUUCACUAUCCACAGGGGACUGGUCCAGGACCCACUGUGUUACCAUUAUCCACAGGUGCUUGAAUCCCUUGUAUAAAGUGGUGUAAUAUUUGCAUAGAACCCAUGUACAUUCUCCCAUAUACUUAAAUUAGCUCCAGAGGGGCUGGCACUAUGGCGCAACAGAUUAAAGCCUUGUCCUGCAGUGCCCGCAUCUCAUAUGGACGCUGGUUCAAGUCCUGGCUGCUCCACUUCCAAUCCAGCUCUCUGCUGUGGCCUGGGAAAGCAGUGGAAGAUGGCCCAAGUCCUUGGGCUCCUGCACCCACAUGGGAGACCUGGAGGAAGCUCCUGGCUCUUGGCUUUGGAUCAGCUCAACUGUGCGGCCAU